AUUGAACGCUGGCGGCAUGCCUUACACAUGCAAGUCGAACGGCAGCACGGGUGCUUGCACCUGGUGGCGAGUGGCGAACGGGUGAGUAAUACAUCGGAACGUACCUUAUCGUGGGGGAUAACGCAGCGAAAGCUGUGCUAAUACCGCAUACGCCCUGAGGGGGAAAGCGGGGGAUCGCAAGACCUCGCGCGAUUAGAGCGGCCGAUGCCUGAUUAGCUUGUUGGUGGGGUAAAAGCCCACCAAGGCGACGAUCAGUAGCUGGUCCGAGAGGACGAUAAGCCACACUGGGACUGAGACACGGCCCAGACUCCUACGGGAGGCAGCAGUGGGGAAGUUUGGACAAUGGGGGCAACCCUGAUCCAGCAAUGCCGCGUGAGUGAAGAAGGCCUUCGGGUUGUAAAGCUCUUUUGUCAGGGAAGAAACACCGGCUCUAACACAGUCCGGGAAUGACGGUACCUGAAGAAUAAGCACCGGCUAACUACGUGCCAGCCGCCGCAGUAA
rnacentral:rRNA from 1 species